rnacentral:rRNA from 1 species
UACGUAGGGUGCAAGCGUUAAUCGGAAUUACUGGGCGUAAAGCGUGCGCAGGCGGCUAUGCAAGACAGAUGUGAAAUCCCCGGGCUCAACCUGGGAACUGCAUUUGUGACUGCAUAGCUAGAGUACGGUAGAGGGGGAUGGAAUUCCGCGUGUAGCAGUGAAAUGCGUAGAUAUGCGGAGGAACACCGAUGGCGAAGGCAAUCCCCUGGACCUGUACUGACGCUCAUGCACGAAAAGCGGUGGGAGCAAACAGG